rnacentral:lncRNA from 1 species
CCUGUGAAAUUGUUGUCAAACAAUUCAAGAUCAGAAAGAGAUCUUAACAACCCAAUUUCUUGGGGAAUGGAACCAGAGAGUUUGUUGCUGUAAAAGUUAAGAACAGAUAAGUUUGUCAAAUUUCCUAUUGAAGCAGGGAUUGGACCUGUGAAAUUGCUGUCAGACAAUGUAAGGCUAGAAAGAGAUCUUAACAACCCAAUUUCUUGAGGAAUGGAACCAGAGAGUUUGUUGCUGUAAAAGUUAAGAACAGAUAAGUUUGUCAAAUUUCCUAUUGAAACUGGGAUUGGACCUGUGAAAUUGUUGUCAGACAAUGCAAGGUUAGAAAGAGAUCUUAACAAUCCAAUUUCUUGGGGAAUGAAACCAGAGAGUUUGUUGCUGUAAAGGUAAAGAAAAGAUAAGUUUGUCAAAUUUCCUAUUGAAGCAGGGAUUGGACCUGUGAAAUUGUUGUCAGACAAUGUAAGGCUAGAAAGAGAUCUUAACAACCCAAUUUCUUGGGGAAUGGAACCAGAGAGUUUGUUGCUGUAAAGGUAAAGAAAAGAUAAGUUUGUCAAAUUUCCUAUUGAAGCUGGGAUUGGACCUGUGAAAUUGUUGUCAGACAAUGCAAGGCUAGAAAGAGAUCUUAACAAUCCAAUUUCUUGGGAAAUGGAACCAGAGAGUUUGUUGCUGUAAAGGUAAAGAAUGGAUAAGUUUGUCAAAUUUCCUAUUGAAGCAGGGAUUGGACCUGUUAAAUUGUUGUCAGACAAUCCAAGAUCAGAAAGAGAUCUUAACAACCCAAUUUCUUGAGGAAUGAAAUUAGAGAGUUUGUUGUUAUUAAGGUAAAGAACGGAUAAGUGUAUCAUAUUUCCUAUUGAAGCCGGGAUUGGACCUGUGAAAUUAUUGUAAGACAAUUGAAGAUCAGAAAGUGAUCUUAACAAUCCAAUUUCUUGAGGAAUGGAACUAGAGAGUUUGUUGUUGUAAAGGUAAAGAAAGGAUAAGUUUGUCAAAUUUCCUAUUGAAGCAGGGAUUGGACCUGUGAAAUUGUUGUUAGACAAUGCAAGGCUAGAAAGAGAUCUUAAUAACCCAAUUUCUUGGGGAAUGGAACCAGAGAGUUUGUUGUUGUAAAGGUAAAGAACAGAUAAGUUUAUUAAAUUUCCUAUCGAAGGAAUACUUCCAUAGAGUGAGUUAAUGCUAAGAUCAACAUGAGUAAGGUUGGGAAAAAGGGAGAAGUUCAAACCUUCUAGCUUCCCUUUCAAAUCUGAAGAGGAAAGGUUU